rnacentral:rRNA from 1 species
UGGGGAAUAUUGCACAAUGGGCGCAAGCCUGAUGCAGCAAUGCCGCGUGAGUGAAGACGGCCUUAGGGUUGUAAAACUCUUUCGCUAGGGAAGAUAAUGACGGUACCUAGUAAAGAAGUCCCGGCUAACUCCGUGCCAGCAGCCGCGGUAAUACGGAGGGGACUAGCGUUGUUCGGAAUUACUGGGCGUAAAGAGUUCGUAGGCGGACUAGCAAGUUAGAGGUGAAAUCCCAGGGCUCAACCUUGGAACUGCCUUUAAAACUGCUAGUCUAGAGACCGGAAGAGGUUAGGGGAAUACCUAGUGUAGAGGUGAAAUUCGUAGAUAUUUGGAGGAACACCAGUGGCGAAGGCGGCUCACUGGCUCGAUACUGACGCUGAGGUGCGAAAGUGU